rnacentral:tRNA from 1 species
UUCCUGGUAGCUCAGCUGGUAAAGUAUCUGCCUGCAAUGCAGGAGAUCCCGGUUCUAUUCCUGGGUGGGGAA